rnacentral:rRNA from 1 species
CCUACGGGGGGCAGCAGUGGGGAAUAUUGCACAAUGGGGGAAACCCUGAUGCAGCGACGCCGCGUGAGUGAAGAAGUAUCUCGGUACGUAAAGCUCUAUCAGCAGGGAAGAAAAUGACGGUACCUGACUAAGAAGCCCCGUCUAACUACGUGCCAGCAGCCGCGGUAAUACGUCGGGGGCAAGCGUUAUCCGGAUUUACUGGGUGUAAAGGGAGCGUAGACGGAAGCACAAGUCUGGAGUGAAAUCCCGGGGCUUAACCCCGGAAGUGCAUUGGAAACCGUGCGGCUGGAGUGCAGGAGGGGUAAGCGGAAUUCGUAGUGUAGCGGUGAAAUGCGUAGAUAUUAGGAGGAACACCGGUGGCGAAGGCGGCUUACUGGACUGUAACUGACGUUGAGGCUCGAAAGCGUGGGGAGCAAACAGGAUUAGAUACCCUUGUAGUC